AUGUACACCCCAGUACACUCCGGUUCCUGCGCGCCGCCCGCACCCACCUGACGACCGCUCGCUACGUUUUGUUAGCG
rnacentral:sRNA from 1 species